AAAAAGUUAGUUAAAUUAUAACAUAAUUUUGUCAAAAUUAAAUUACUAAUCAUAAUAAUAGUACUUUUUA
rnacentral:tRNA from 1 species